GACGUCGAUAUUCGACGUCAUAAACACGAUCAACUUUGGUGUUUAUGACGUCGACGUCAUAAACACGUUCAACUUUGGUGUUUAUGACCUCGAUAUUCGACGUCAUAAACCCAUUCAACAUUGGUGGGUAACUUUGGUUGGAAGAAAAUGAAAUUUUUUUUUUAAAUUCGUCAAUAUUCGACGUCAUAAACACGAUCAACUUUGGUGUUUAUGACGUCGAUAUUCGACGUCAUAAACACGAUCAACUUUGGUGUAUAUGACGUCGAUAUUCGACGUCAUAAACACGAUCACCUUUGGUGUUUAUGACGUCGAUAUUCGACGUC